rnacentral:rRNA from 1 species
UACGUAGGGUGCAAGCGUUAAUCGGAAUUACUGGGCGUAAAGCGUGCGCAGGCGGCUUUGCAAGACAGAUGUGAAAUCCCCGGGCUUAACCUGGGAACUGCAUUUGGGACUGCAAGGCUAGAGUGUGGCAGAGGAGACUGGAAUUCCCGGUGUAGCAGUGAAAUGCGUAGAUAUCGGGAGGAAUACCGAUGGCGAAGGCAGGUCUCUGGGCUGACACUGACGCUCAUGCACGAAAGCGUGGGGAGCAAACAGG